UGCGUAGGCGGAAUGAUAAGUUAGUGGUGAAAGCCCCCGGCUCAACCGGGGAACUGCCAUUAAUACUGUCAUUCUUGAGUAUAGUUGAAGUGGGCGGAAUGUAUCAUGUAGCGGUGAAAUGCUUAGAUAUGAUACAGAACACCGAUAGCGUAGGCAGCUUGCUAAACUAUAACGGACGCUCAGGCACGAAAGCGUGGGGAGCAAACAGGAUUAGAUACCCUGGUAGUCC
rnacentral:rRNA from 1 species